GAUGAACGCUGACAGAAUGCUUAACACAUGCAAGUCAACUUGAAUUUGGGUUUUUAACUUAGGUUUGGGUGGCGGACGGGUGAGUAACGCGUAAAGAACUUGCCUCACAGCUAGGGACAACAUUUGGAAACGAAUGCUAAUACCUAAUAUUAUGAUAAUAGGGCAUCCUAUAAUUAUGAAAGCUAUAAGCGCUGUGAGAGAGCUUUGCGUCCCAUUAGCUAGUUGGAGAGGUAACGGCUCACCAAGGCGAUGAUGGGUAGCCGGCCUGAGAGGGUGAUCGGCCACAAGGGGACUGAGACACGGCCCUUACGCCUACGGGAGGCAACAGUGGGGAAUAUUGGACAAUGGACCAAGAGUCUGAUCCAGCAAUUCUGUGUGCACGAUGAAGUUUUUCGGAAUGUAAAGUGCUUUCAGUUGGGAAGAAAGAAAUGACGGUACCAACAGAAGAAGUGACGGCUAAAUACGUG
rnacentral:rRNA from 1 species